rnacentral:rRNA from 1 species
UGGGGAAUAUUGCACAAUGGGCGCAAGCCUGAUGCAGCCAUGCCGCGUGUAUGAAGAAGGCCUUCGGGUUGUAAAGUACUUUCAGUAGGGAGGAAGGUGUCAAGGUUAAUAACCUUGGCAAUUGACGUUACCGACAGAAGAAGCACCGGCUAACUCCGGGCCAGCAGCCGCGGUAAUACGGAGGGUGCAAGCGUUAAUCGGAAUUACUGGGCGUAAAGCGCACGCAGGCGGUUGAUUGAGUCAGAUGUGAAAUCCCCGGGCUUAACCCGGGAAUUGCAUCUGAUACUGGUCAGCUAGAGUCUUGUAGAGGGGGGUAGAAUUCCAUGUGUAGCGGUGAAAUGCGUAGAGAUGUGGAGGAAUACCGGUGGCGAAGGCGGCCCCCUGGACAAAGACUUACGCUCAGGUGCGAACGCGGGGGCAGCAAACAGG